CCUACGGGUGGCUGCAGUGGGGAAUAUUGCACAAUGGGCGCAAGCCUGAUGCAGCCAUGCCGCGUGUGUGAAGAAGGCCUUCGGGUUGUAAAGCACUUUCAGCGGGGAGGAAGGCGUUAAGGUUAAUAACCUUGGCGAUUGACGUUACCCGCAGAAGAAGCACCGGCUAACUCCGUGCCAGCAGCCGCGGUAGUACGGAGGGUGCAAGCGUUAAUCGGAAUUACUGGGCGUAAAGCGCACGCAGGCGGUCUGUCAAGUCGGAUGUGAAAUCCCCGGGCUCAACCUGGGAACUGCAUUCGAAACUGGCAGGCUAGAGUCUUGUAGAGGGGGGUAGAAUUCCAGGUGUAGCGGUGAAAUGCGUAGAGAUCUGGAGGAAUACCAGUGGCGAAGGCGGCCCCCUGGACAAAGACUGACGCUCAGGUGCGAAAGCGUGGGGAGCAAACAGGAUUAGAUACCCUUGUAGUC
rnacentral:rRNA from 1 species